UAGGGAAUCUUCCGCAAUGGACGCAAGUCUGACGGAGCAACGCCGCGUGAGUGAAGAAGGAUUUCGGUUCGUAAAACUCUGUUGUUAGAGAAGAACAGCGCAUAGAGUAACUGUUAUGCGUGUGACGGUAUCUAACCAGAAAGCCACGGCUAACUACGUGCCAGCAGCCGCGGUAAUACGUAGGUGGCAAGCGUUGUCCGGAUUUAUUGGGCGUAAAGCGAGCGCAGGCGGUCAAUUAAGUCUGAUGUGAAAGCCCCCGGCUCAACCGGGGAGGGUCAUUGGAAACUGGUUGACUUGAGUGCAGAAGAGGAGAGUGGAAUUCCAUGUGUAGAGGUGAAAUGCGUAGAUAUAUGGAGGAACACCAGUGGCGAAGGCGACUCUCUGGUCUGUAACUGACGCUGAGGCUCGAAAGCGUGGGUAGCAAACAGG
rnacentral:rRNA from 1 species